AGCAAAUAGAUACCCAGGUAGUCCACGCCCUAAACGAUGUGCACUAGAUCGUGGAGGCUCUGACGCCAUCAUGGUCGAAGUUAAAUGCUAAGUGCACCGCCUGGGGAGUACGGUCGCAAGGCUAAAACUCAAAGAAAUUGACGGGGCGUCACACAAGCGGUGGAGCAUGUGGCUCAAUUCGUAAGCAACGCGAAGAAACCCUUAUCCUAGGCUUGACAUGUAUGGAUUAGGUCGUGGAAACACGGCUGAGGCCUUCGGUACGAACAUACACAGGUGCUGCAUGGCUGUCGUCAGCUCGUGCUGUGAAGUGUCGGGUUAAGGUCCCUUAACCGAGCGAAACCCCGUACUCUCUAGUUGUCCAACAGGUAAUGCUGGGGACGUCUAGCGAGACUGCCGGUGUCAAACCGGAGGAAGGUGGGGAGUGACGUCAAGUCCGUCAUGGCCCGUUAUGCCUAGGGCUGCACACGUGCUACAAU
rnacentral:rRNA from 1 species